rnacentral:rRNA from 1 species
CAGUAGCCGCGGGAAUACGAGGGGGGCAAGCGUUGUUCGGAAUUAUUGGGCGUAAAGGGCUCGCAGGCGGUUUCUUAAGUCUGAUGUGAAAGCCCCCGGCUCAACCGGGGAGGGUCAUUGGAAACUGGGAAACUUGAGUGCAGAAGAGGAGAGUGGAAUUCCACGUGUAGCGGUGAAAUGCGUAGAGAUGUGGAGGAACACCAGUGGCGAAGGCGACUCUCUGGUCUGUAACUGACGCUGAGGAGCGAAAGCGUGGGGAGCGAACAGGAUUAGAUACCCCCGUAGUCCCUGUCUCUUAUAC